rnacentral:tRNA from 1 species
AGGGAAACAGCUCAGUGGUAGAGUGCUUGCUUAGCAUGCCUGUGGUCCUGGGUUCAAUCCUCAGUAUCUCCA